UCAGCAUGCAUAUAGUGCAGAUAUUUAUCAUUUUCGGUUUAAUUGCUUUCGGCAUGACUCAAUUGGUUUAUUCGCCACUUUCACCUCCGAGCGAUGACAAGCCAAGGAGGAAAAUCCUGAUCAAAUCGUCAAGAGCCAAAAAGGGGCGGACAAAUAAGAAAACUUGAACAUGAAAAUUAAAACAAAACUCUAUAAUGAACACUUGAUUCCUAUGAAUAAAUUACACACAAAAAUUAGUGUUACAA